rnacentral:rRNA from 1 species
AAGCCGGUAAAAGGCAAUGUACCUAGUAGUAUUAGAAAUAAAUAUGAGGUUAACAAAGUUAAUUAAAAUUCAUAGUAGAUAAAUGAUUAUGACAAUAUCUGCUGAUGUCUUGACCAAGUCACGUGCCAGCAGUCGCGGUAAUACGUGGAAGAUAAGUGUUAUUCAUCUUUAAUAGGUUUAAAGGGUACCUAGACAGUUAAUUAAGCAAGAAAUUGUACUAGUUUAACUAGAGUUUAAUGUAGGAAGGGUCAGUACGAUGCGGUGUAGAGAUAAAAUUCUUUGAUACUCAUGGGGACUGGUAAAGGCGAAGGCAACCUUUUAUGAAAAACUGACGUUAAGGGACGAAGGCUCAAGGAGAAAAAAGAGGAUUAGAUACCCUUGUAUAGUGGGCAGACAAUGAUGAGUGUCAUAUGCAAGAUGAUUUUUGUGUAUAAAUGAAAGUGUAAGCACUCCACCUCAAGAGUAACGUGGCAACAUGGGAACUGAAAUCAUUAGGCCGUUUCUGAAACCCGUAGUGAAGUAUGUUGUUUAAUUUGUAAGUACGCAAAUAACCUUACCACAAUUUGUAUAGCUUGUAAUUUUACAUUGGUUAUUAAYCAACAUGAYAAUAACUUGUAUACUAUAUUUAUAUAUUAAUAUAUAUAUAUUAUAUAGUAAAACUUACAAGCUACAAGCGUUGCACGGCUGUUUUUAGUCAAUGUUGUGAAACUUUGGUUAGGUCCAUUAAAU